UCAGAAGCAAACGUGACAAACUGCACGGUUCUGAGUCGCAUCUGCAGACGGCAGAGCAGGAUCUACCUGCAGACAAAGAUCAGCUGUCCAGCAGGUGUACCCCGCGAUGGAGGAUAGGGGGUUCCUGUUGGCCGUCGUGUUUUUGCAUCCAACCCGAGGAUCUGGGGGGGGGGGGGUCCAGCCUCCUGUUUUGUUUCCUAGCGACGGCGGUGGCGCUGUCUGGCGGUGGGGAACCAGCAGGAAUCCAGGAUAAAGCUCAGCGAGCCGGGAUAAGCCUAAACACACCGCGGGGGGAUUUGUGAGCGUAAUGAGCAGGUCGUCUGCUCGCCACACGAACGCUCACAUGGACGGAUCUGGGGGAGGAAGAGCUUCACUGAAUCACUCCGGUCCGGUUUCUCCUCUGACAGAUGCCGUCCUCUGCAGAGGGCUGAUUCUAAAAAUGGAACCAACUGGAGCCAGGUUAGUUCACCGGGAAACCACUAGAGGGCGUUUCAAACAUACUGAGGCUCCACCGCCAUGAAAGACUGCUUCACAUUCAUGGAACUUUCACGCCACUGCACGCCACGCACUGAUGGACAGCUGAAGGAUGGCGUGGUGAUUGGUGAUUCUGUUCAGGAAACCCGGACCGUCACCGGUCAGGAACACUUCCUGUUUGUCCAGAAUAACACACCGAUGUCAAUCAGGAAAGAUAUCGACAGACAGACGACACGUUGACAGUUUUUUUCAUCUCUGACUGUGUCCGUCACAGGAUUCUGAUCUUCUGGUUCUGAUGGUUUGACAGUCUUUCAGCUGCCUCAGCGGUUCUGGUUUCCUCUGUCUGGUCAUUUGGCCGUUUUGGGUUUUCUUAAGUUUGUUUAAGUUGUUAAAUUUUUAUUAAACCUGAACACAAAAAGCUGUAAAUUCUCCUGAAUCUUUAAGUUCCUGGAAAGCUAAAAACAUUCGGUGACAGAGAUGACUUUAGGAGCGGAGCGCCGAGUCAAACUUUGAGGAAAGGAUUUGAAUUCACUUCAUUUUUGGUGUUGCACAUUCUCUGCUCUCAGAGCUGAUCUAGUUCAUCUAUAUCUGCUUCUAAUUGCUGGUUCUAUUGAUGUGCCUGAACUGUUUUUAAACGUCAUUACAACAAAGCUUCUAUUCUGUUUCUAUUAAAGACUGUGUU